rnacentral:lncRNA from 1 species
AGCAGACAGAAUUUGCCUUGUAGGCCUAGUAACAAUUAGACUGAUUUAAAUUUAAAUUUUAAUCCUUAUAUUUUAAGAAAAUGUAAUUCUUUAGAAUAUAAUCCUAAGCAAAACUGGUAAUUUAUUCCUUUAAGAUGAUAACCCUCCACAUCGUAUGGAAAAUACUAGCAAAGCCAAUGUUCUGAGGAAAGGAAAAAGCUCUUGAUUUUCGGGCUUUCUUUCAUUUCAUCUUGAUUCAUGUUCAUCUUGAUUCAUUCAAAGUCUCACAGGAACGUGCUCUGAAAAUAAAUCACUCAGAAGUCCAAGGGGUGAGAACUGCAAGGGAUGUAAGUGCUGUAGCUACCUCCAUCCAGAUCUGAAAUUAUUUUAUUGCUUUCACACCAUUCACCAUGUUGCACUUAAUCUUUU